GACCAAGAAGUCUAACAUGUGUGCGAGUCAUUGGGUAUAUUGUUGAAACCUAAGGGCGCAAUUAAAAUAACUAUUUUAUGGGAUUACAAGUGAAUUAAAUUUCAUUUCUUCAUCCCGGGGCGUUCUAUACGAACAUGGUUUAAGCAAUUGAAUCCUCUGUUCAAGAGCGUACCUUGAGCAUACAUGCUGUGACCCGAAAGAUGGUGAACUAUACCUGAUCAGAUCGAAGCCAGGAGAAAUUCUGGUGGAGGAUCGAAACAGUUCUGACGUGCAAAUCGAUUGUCAGAAUUGGGUAUAGGGGCGAAAGACCAAUCGAACCAUCUAGUAGCUGGUUCCCUCCGAAGUUUCCCUCAGGAUAGCUGGCGCAAAGAAUUAUAUUGUAUAUAAUCUUAUCUGGUAAAGCGAAUGAUUAGAGGCCUUGGGGCCGAAACGACCUCAACCUAUUCUCAAACUUUAAAUGGGUAAGAACCUCAUCUUUCUUGAUCUGAAGAUAUUGGGGUUUAGAUAUAUUGUGCCCAGUGGGCCACUUUUGGUAAGCAGAACUGGCGCUGUGGGAUGAACCAAACAUGAUGUUACGGCGCCUAAAUUAAUGACUCAUAUUGAUACCAUGAAAGGCGUUGGUUGCUUAAAACAGCAGGACGGUGGACAUGGAAGUCGUAAUCCGCUAAGGAGUGUGUAACAACUCACCUGCCGAAGCAACUAGCCCUUAAAAUGGAUGGCGCUCAAGUCAUAUGCCUAUACAUCAUCGCUAGAAUAAAAAUUGUUGGCCAUUCGGUCAUCAUUGUGAAAUUCUAGUGAGUAGGAGGGUACAAUGGUGUGCGCAGAAGUGUUUGGCGUGAGCCUGCAUGAAGCCGCCAUUGGCACAGAUCUUGGUGGUAGUAGCAAAUAAUCGAAUGAGAUCUUGGAGGACUGAAGUGGAGAAGGGUUUCGUGUGAACAGUGGUUGAUCACGAGUUAGUCGGUCCUAAGCUUUAUGCGAAAGCUGUUUAAUUUAUGUUACACACAAAAUUUUUGUUGUACAUAAUUCAAUAAAAGCGAAAGGGAAUACGGUUCCAAUUCCGUAACCUGUUGAGUAUACGUUUGUUUAUUAAAAAUGGGUCUUAUUACACUCAUCCUGGCAACAGGAACGACCAUAGAGAAGCCUUCGAGAGAUACUGGAAGAGUUUUCUUUUCUGCUAAACAAGCGUACCACCAUGGAAGUCUUUUAUAGAGAGAUAUGGUGGAUGGCUUGGAAGAGCAUGACAUUUACUGUUGUGUCAGUAUUUUCUCCUUGGACCUUGAAAAUCUAUGGUGGGGCCACGCAAACUUCUCAACAGACCGUACCGAUAUCCGCAG
rnacentral:rRNA from 1 species